CCUAAAAAGGUUACAUUUUAUAUUUGGAGCAAUUGCAAGUAAAUUUAAUCAAAAUAGUUUUAAAUUAUGGUUAAUAAUCGCUUGGAAAAGAUUUAUACAAGAGCGAAAGUUUUAAUUGAUUCAGGAGCUCGUAAUUAGGUUGAUAGACCGCUUUAGUUCGAUGUUACGAGGCUUUCCCUCCUAAAAUAGAGCCUUGGUUUGAUAAAAAAGUUGCGAGUUAAAAAAGAUAUUUUAUCAGGAACACGAAAUUAGGACGUUAGGUAUUUACGAUUUAAAAACAUUACAAGUUAAUAUGCUGCAUUAAUUGUGAUUAAUAACUCAAAAUAACGACGAGAACAUCCUUUUUUUAAUCUAUCUGAUCGCCAUCUAUUAAAUUAUUUUUGAAUUACAUCGAU